rnacentral:rRNA from 1 species
UUGGAGGGCAAGUCUGGUGCCAGCAGCCGCGGUAAUUCCAGCUCCAAUAGCGUAUAUUAAAGUUGUUGCAGUUAAAAAGCUCGUAGUUGAAUUUCGGGGUUAGUAGGUUGGUCAUGCCUCUGGUAUGUACUGGUCUCACUGAUUCCUCCUUCCUUAUGAACCGUAAUGCCAUUAAUUUGGUGUUGCGGGGAAUUUGGACUGUUACUUUGAAAAAAUUAGAGUGUUUAAAGCAAGCUAACGCUUGAAUACAUUAGCAUGGAAUAAUGAAAUAGG